rnacentral:rRNA from 1 species
UACGGGGGGUGCAAGCGUUGUUCGGAUUUACUGGGCGUAAAGGGCGCGUAGGCGGCCACUGCAAGUCGACUGUGAAAUCUCCGGGCUUAACCCGGAAAGGUCAGCCGAUACUGCGGGGCUAGAGUGCAGAAGGGGCAACUGGAAUUCUCGGUGUAGCGGUGAAAUGCGUAGAUAUCGAGAGGAACACCUGCGGCGAAGGCGGGUUGCUGGGCUGACACUGACGCUGAGGCGCGAAAGCUAGGGGAGCGAACGGG